UAGAGUAGCUUGCCCACAAUCUACCCAUC
rnacentral:piRNA from 1 species